rnacentral:rRNA from 1 species
GGAAUCAUUGACUUACAUCAUGAUAUCUUUUUCUUCCUCAUUCUUAUUUUGGUUUUCGUAUCACGGAUGUUGGUUCGCGCUUUAUGGCAUUUCAACGAGCAAAAUAAUCCAAUACCACAAAGGAUUGUUCAUGGAACUACUAUCGAAAUUAUUCGGACCAUAUUUCCAAGUGUCAUUCUUUUGUUCAUUGCUAUACCAUCGUUUGCUCUGUUAUACUCAAUGGACGGGGUAUUAGUAGAUCUAGCCAUUACUAUCAAAGCUAUUGGACAUCAAUGGUAUCGGAGUGCGCCUCUUAACGAGGGUGAUUUAAGUGCAACGAAAUGUACCGGUGGUUCACGAAGCAUUUGGCUUACCGGUCAUCUCCCA